UACGGGGGGGGCAAGCGUUGUUCGGAAUUACUGGGCGUAAAGGGCUCGUAGGCGGCCAACUAAGUCGGACGUGAAAUCCCCAGGCUUAACCUGGGAACUGCAUCCGAUACUGGAUGGCUUGAAUUCGGGAGAGGGAUGCAGAAUUCCAGGUGUAGCGGUGAAAUGCGUAGAUAUCUGGAGGAAUACCGGUGGCGAAGGCGGCAUCCUGGACCGACAUUGACGCUGAUGAGCGAAAGCUAGGGGAGCAAACGGG
rnacentral:rRNA from 1 species